GAUAUGGUGGAAUAUAUAUGGAGGUUGUGAGUAGGUCAACAUAGAAUCGAUCACUCCUGAUAAGAGGAGAUCAUAUUUCACUUACUCUGAUUGAUUGAUAAUUGCCUUUGAUCAAAGAAGGAUGAAAAUUAAAAAGAGUUUUUAAUAUUUCAUUAAUCGAAUCAUUAUUAAAGAUUAAGAGAAAUAUGAAUAUGAUAUUGGAUUUGACAUCAUUCCAUAUCCAGAGUUAUUUUUGGGAUGUUGGGAGAUCGAAGGAUCGAAUUACAUGGUAACUU
rnacentral:lncRNA from 1 species